rnacentral:misc_RNA from 1 species
GGAAGUAAAACGUAACAAGGUUUCCGUAGGUGAACCUGCAGAAGGAUCAUUAUUGUAUAACCGAGGUGCGAGGGCUGUCGCUGACCCGAAAGGUCGUGCACGUCCGGGUGCCCUCACACACAUCCAUCUCACCCCUAUGUGCACCACCGCGUGGGUCCCCCUUUGGCUUGUUCGGAGGGGGGCUUACGUUUUCACACAAACUUUGUAUGCAGUGUAGAAUGUAUUUUUUGUUUUUGCGAUCACGCAAUCAAUACAACUUUCAACAACGGAUCUCUUGGCUCUC